rnacentral:lncRNA from 13 species
AAGCUGCCUUCCAAAGUGACUGAACCAAUUUGCAUUUGCAUCAGCAGUUAAUGAGUAAGUUUCUCUUGCUCCACAUUCUCUCCAGUGUUUGCUGUUGGUAGUCUUUUGGAUUUUUGACAAGCUAUCUGCACACCUUUUUAGAAACACAUGGGCUAGUGGGGUCCGUAUCAGUUGCAUUUCCAGAACGAUGGCACUGAACACGCUACACUCCGACUUUCAGUGGUGCAGCGGGACGGCCAACAGAGGGCGCGCAUCCACCCCCGUCUCCCGUCCACCCAGAGGCCAAGGGCCCUGCAGUGCCCCCGCCGCCAGCAGAGUGCACGCCAGCCCAGCUUUUCUUAUCCCAGAGGCCAACGCACCCUCCCGCUUCCUCAGCACAGGCCCCCUGGCUGGGCGGGAGCUGCAUUCUCAGCGCAGACCGCCGGACGCCCCUUGCUUUUGUACACCUGGAGCCUGCGUCCACGACGGAGUCUUGCUUUGUCACGCAGGCUGGAGUGCAGUAGCGCCAUCUCAGCUCACUGCAAACUUCACCUCGCGGAUUGGAGUGAUCCUCCUGCCUCAGCCUCCUGAGGAGCUGGGAUUACAGGUGCGUGCCACCGUGCC